GGAGUUGUAGCUCAGAGGUAGAGCAUUUCCUCGUACAUAUGAGGCACUGGGUUCAAUUCCCAGCACCA
rnacentral:tRNA from 1 species